rnacentral:hammerhead_ribozyme from 1 species
AUCCAGCUGACGAGUCACAAAUAGGACGAAACGCGCGUUCUGGAU